rnacentral:rRNA from 1 species
AUUAGAUACCCCGGUAGUCCUGGCCGUAAACGAUGGGUACUAGGUGUAGGAGGUAUCGACCCCUUCUGUGCCGGAGUUAACGCAAUAAGUACCCCGCCUGGGGAGUACGACCGCAAGGUUGAAACUCAAAGGAAUUGACGGGGGCCCGCACAAGCGGUGGAGUAUGUGGUUUAAUUCGACGCAACGCGAAGAACCUUACCAGGUCUUGACAUUGAUGGACAGAACCAGAGAUGGUUCCUCUUCUUCGGAAGCCAGAAAACAGGUGUGCACGGUUGUCGUCAGCUCGUGUCGUGAGAUGGUGGGUUAAGUCCCGCAACGAGCGCAACCCCUAUCUUAUGUUGCCAGCACUUUGGGUGGGGACUCAUGAGAGACUGCCGCAGACAAUGUGGAGGAAGGCGGGGAUGACGUCAAAUCAUCAUGCCCCUUAUGACCUGGGCUACGCACGUACUACAAUGGGAGUUAAUAGACGGAAGCGAGAUCGCGAGAUGGAGCAAACCCGAGAAACACUCUCUCAGUUCGGAUCGUAGGCUGCAACUCGCCUACGUGAAGUCGGAAUCGCUAGUAAUCGCAGGUCAGCAUACUGCGGUGAAUACGUUCCCGGGCCUUGUACACACCGCCCGUCACACCACGAAAGUCGGAAGUGCCCAAAGCCGGUGGGGUAA